rnacentral:rRNA from 1 species
GGAAGUAAAAGUCGUAACAAGGUUUCCGUAGGUGAACCUGCGGAAGGAUCAUUGUCGAAAUCUGGGAUGCAAAUGACUGGAGAAUAUGUUUAACUCACGGGAAAUAGGAUGUGAGAAAUCACGUACUGAUGCCCCUCACAUGUUGUCGGCCAUACGGCAGAUCUCCAUGUAAAACGCAAACCAAGCGCGAAAAGCGCCAAGGAAAACAAAAAAAAUUGCUUGCCUCCUCAAUCCUCCAGUGCGGUGCGUUGAGAGAGUACAUGCAUCACCAAAAUAAAAAAUGACUCUCGGCAAUGGAUAUCUCGGCUCUCGCAUCGAUGAAGAACGUAGCAAACUGCGAUACUUGGUGUGAAUUGCAGAAUCCCGUGAAUCAUUGAGUUUUUGAACGCAAGUUGCGCCCGAAGCUGUCAAGCCAAGGGCACGUCUGCCUGGGCGUCACCAAUCUCAUCGCCCCCAUCGCUCGAUCUGUGCACUAUUGUGUCCGGCUCUGUGAUUGCGGGGCAGAAAUUGGCUUCCCGUGCCCGGUGUGCGGUUUGCCUAAAUUUGAAUCUCUUUCUGAUGGUGCGAGGACAAGUGGUGGUUGAAUGCGUCGACUCGAGUGAUGUCGUGCGACCCACGGUGCGAGAGACUUCCCGACCCCUUGCGCGUGUCGAAAGACGGCUGCGACGGCUGCGACUCCAGGUUAGGCGGGACUACCCGCUGAGUUUAAGCAUAUCAAUAAGCGGAGGA